GAACCAAGCUGUGGACUCUUGCGUGCCGUCCCGGAGAGCCGUGGUAGCUGAGGUCCGGUGCAGCUGUUUCCUUCGAGGACGCCUGGCCUCUGAGCAACCCUGUUUACAAGAGGUGGUGCUUCCGACCCCUGUCCUGAUGGCCGUACGUCACCCGUUUGCUUAGUGAAGCUCCGUGGCUGCAGGAGGUUGGCUGGGAGAGCUGACAUUGCGCUCCUUCCUCACCGCCCCCGUGUUGUGGACGCAUCCUGCAGAGCGGCUGGAGGCUCUCUGGGGACACCUUGGUUCCAUUUUCAGACUCCAGCUCCUUUUAUCUCCCCUGGAAUCCGCUGUCUGGCACGUCGCACGUGAAAUCGCCGCUGGCUCCGGAGCCCUGGGAAGUCUCUACCCAUCACACAGAGCA
rnacentral:lncRNA from 1 species